UACGUAGGGUGCGAGCGUUGUCCGGAAUUAUUGGGCGUAAAGGGCUCGUAGGCGGUUUGUCACGUCGGGAGUGAAAACACCGGGCUUAACUCGGUGCUUGCUUCCGAUACGGGCAGACUAGAGGCAUGCAGGGGAGAACGGAAUUCCUGGUGUAGCGGUGAAAUGCGCAGAUAUCAGGAGGAACACCGGUGGCGAAGGCGGUUCUCUGGGCAUGUCCUGACGCUGAGGAGCGAAAGUGUGGGGAGCAAACAGG
rnacentral:rRNA from 1 species